UAAACUAGGAUUAGAUACCCUAUUAUUUUAAAUGUUAAUUUUUAAUAUCAAAUUAGUAAUAGUUAUUUUCUUGAAAAUUAAAAAAUUUGGCGGUAUUUUAGUCUUUUCAGAGGAACCUGUCCUGUAAUUGAUAGCCCACGAUAAUAGAUACUUUUUUUAUUAAUUUACAUAUCGUCGUAGUUUAAAUAUUUUAAUAGAAUUAUAAUGUUUGAGAUUUUAAAUUAAAAAAGAAAUCAGAUCAAGGUGUAGUUUAUAAGGAAGAAGAGAUGGGUUACAAUAAAAUUAUUUUUGGAUAAUUUUUUUAAAAGAAAUUUGAAUUUGGAUUUGAAAGUAAUUUUUUAAAUUUAUUUAGAAUGAUUUAAGCUCUAAAAUAUGCACACAUCGCCCGUCGCUCUUAA
rnacentral:rRNA from 1 species